UACGAAAGGGGCUAGCGUUUUUCGGAAUUAAUGGGCGUAAAGCGCACGUAGGCGGCCUUGUAAGAUGGGGGUGAAAUCCCCGGGCUCAACCCGUGAACUGCCUUCAUGACUGCAAAGCUAGAGGAUGCGAGAGGUUAGCGGAAUUCCGAGUGUAGAGGUGAAAUUCGUAGAUAUUCGGAAGAACACCAGUGGCGAAGGCGGCUAACUGGCGCAUUUCUGACGCUGAGGUGCGAAAGCGUGGGGAGCAAACAGG
rnacentral:rRNA from 1 species